AACGCGAAGAACCUUACCUGGGCUCGAAAUGCACAAGAAUCCGGCAGAAACGUCGGCGCCUAGCAAUAGGCUUGUGUAUAGGUGCUGCAUGGCUGUCGUCAGCUCGUGUCGUGAGAUGUUGGGUUAAGUCCCGCAACGAGCGCAACCCUUAUCUUCAGUUGCUACCAUUUAGUUGAGCACUCUGACGAAACCGCCUCGGAUAACGGGGAGGAAGGUGGGGAUGACGUCAAGUCCUCAUGGCCUUUAUGUCCAGGGCUACACACGUGCUACAAUGGCCGGUACAAACCGCUGCAACCCCGCGAGGGUGAGCUAAUCGGAAAAAGCCGGCCUCAGUUCGGAUUGGAGUCUGCAACUCGACUCCAUGAAGCUGGAAUCGCUAGUAAUCGUGGAUCAGCAUGCCACGGUGAAUACGUUCCCGGGCCUUGUA
rnacentral:rRNA from 1 species